rnacentral:sRNA from 1 species
CUAAUCGAUUAUUCGAUAUUUUGCGGUAAAAAGUCGCAGUCGAUUCUUAGUGGCUAAAAAUAGGGGGCAUCUCCGAUUUCGAUGAAAUUUGGUAGGAUGUGGAUUGACCCCAGAAAUACGAAUCUGAAUUUCGUUUUUGGGACACUCGACCGUGGACACCCCACACGGAUAUCAGAUUCAUGUUCCUAGAACCAAUCAACAUUUAUAUAUACAAUUUCAGCCAAAUCGGAGGUGCUCGAUAGAAAUUACAUUUACCCAGCCAGUCAUGAAAUUAAAAAGCCAAACUUCCUUCAUAUGUCAAACGAAUCACAGAUGCCUCCUUCAAAUCUGAGGCUUGGUACUCUACUAUCAAACUCCAUAUAAAAAGCUAGAAAUUUGCAUCUGGACCAUUGCGGAGUAAGAGGGAAUGAAAAAGCAGACGAUUUUAGAGGAAGGCCAGAGGACUGCCGUCAAUAAACCUAGUUAGCCCGAAGCCUUUCAGAUCGACGCAGUCCGAGUUAUGUUAAAAGUACGACGAAAAUUCUGUGGAGAGAUCCGGAUUGUGAAGACGACUCUAAUACUGAAAGGAAGCAAACACUAUGAAACAGCGAAACGGUUAGCAGGACGACGAAAAUCCUGUGGAGAUAUCCGGAUUGUAAAGACGAGUCUAUUACUGAAAGGAGGCAAGCAGGAAGUCAGUAUAGCGUUCGGUAUCAUAACAGGACACAAGGACUGCGAGCUCACUUAUACAAAAUAGGUGCGGCAAGUAGUAGCAUGAGUAGGGCAAAUGGAGAAGAUGAUGAGACGUUGCAGCACAUCUUAUGUGAUCGCCCGGCUUUUGCGGCUAAUAGACAUGAACAUACGUAGAGGCGUGGUAUGGAAAACAAUUAGGGAUUUUUAUUUAGAGCGCACAACAAGUCGAUUACGAGCUGGAUGACGAUUACUAGCUUAUGCUGUUCUGAGGCGGCAGCCCUUGCCGAUGAAAGACUCCAUCGGGCCAAUCCGGAACGUACAACCGGCUACCAGGCAAUUAUAGCCUCUUAAAGUGAUGAAAUAAAAAAAAAAUUUUAAAAAUUCACCUGUUGAAUGCACUGAAACACAAAGAUUCCAGGAAAGGCUUACACAUUCUAAGGGCGCUGGAGUCUGUAGGUGUGCCUCUGGCAAGGCAUGUAAGAUGAUUUUUCAAGAUGGAGCCCAAAAGGCAUCGGAUGACAAAUGGUGGUGAAGGCGAUCGAUGGUCAUGUGGUGAAGGCGAUACCACAUUGUAGCCCAAUCUAAAAUUGAAGAAGUUUACAGCUUUGCUGUGGUUGGCUAGAACAGAAGUCUCAGUCAUUACGUCCGUCAUGAUAAGCCACUGUCUGAUUGGAAAAAAUCGUCAUUCUUUGAGGACUUGUCUGACUUAGCAAAUGUAAACAUGCUCAAGUUUAUGGUCUUUUUAAGGCGAUAUGAAAAUUAGCCAAAUUUUUAACUGAGGAAUUUACUAGGCAAGGUUUUGGCUUUUAAGGUAGUUAACAAUAUACAUAUUCCUUUAUCAAUACAAGAAUUUUGUUUUCUCAACAGAAGAAAAAACAUAAGAGAAUGAUUUUUUGAAAAAUUAUAAACCAA